UGUGUAACAAUACAAAAUAACAGACAAGCAAAUUUCAACCAAAGAUCAAUAUGGAUCAAGCAAUCAGCACAGGUAAGCUAGGGAAUUACGUUUCCUCAUUUUAUUUAUAGUUUCUUUCUUAGCAAUAUACCAUAUAUUACUCCAUGUUUUCUUCUCAGUUUAUCAUAUUUUCUUCCAAAACAACGCCAACUCAAAUGGCUCCCCAUUUCAUUAGUGCCCUUACGCAGCAAGAACUUGCAUGAAUGCUGCAGCUCUUGCACAAAGCAUAUGGGUAUACCGUCCGAGAAAAUAUUCAGCAAACCAUGACCCACACAAACUCUCCACCCAUUCCUCGCCACGUGUCCCUCUCCCUCUCUUCCUCACUCUCCGGAUCUCAUCUCUCCCUCUCACUCUUUCAGCUCUCUACCACUCUCAUCUCUCUGUCACUCUCACCCCUCUCCCGUCUCUCUCCCCGAGUUCCCUCUCUCGCAGAUCUCUUUUUCCCUAGGAUCCCUUUCCCUUUUCGGUGACACACCCGAGACCCCUACACUCACCGACGAAGGUACACCCACCAUCGCUCUCUGUCCCUCCGUCUCUGUGGACCUCCGGAGCAACCAGAGGGCACCCAAAAUCCAGACCCCGGCGAACCCGUAGCUUGCGAGCCCAAAUCCGGCCACCUCCGGUCUUCUCUCGGCGAAACGAAGAAAAAGCAAGCAUGAAAAAGCCAUCAGAAACUAUGCCUAAACCAAGAUAUAGAGAAGACACGAUUGAGGGUUUAGACAUGGUUGACAAGCCGCAACAAAGUAAAAGUACGACGACUGAAAGUAAAAGCCUUUUUGGCAAGGUAAAAAAGUUGUGGAGGAAGGAGGAAAAAGAUGGUGAGAAAAAGAAAAAGAAGAAGAAGAAGAAGAAGAAGAGCAAAGAAAAAGAUAUUGGGACGAAGACAUCUUCAUGCUGCUGGUCAUCGAGUUGGUGUGGAAGUACACGAAGCAGACAAGAACGAAAUAGUAGCAGCUGUAGCUGUAUCUUCGACGCUAUUCACUACAUUCACUACAAGAAAAUAUGGAUUCUGUGAGGAAUGGGUUUCGUCACACAUUGGUCACUUAAUUUUGGAAUAUGUGACGUAUUUAUCAUCACAUAAGUGUUCCUGAAUUUCGUCCCUCACAACUAAUCAUGUGUGACGCUUUUAAAUAAUUCCUCACAUAAUUUUUCUAUAUGUGACGAAUUUGUAGGCGUCACAUAGAAUUUGGUCACCUAUUCCAUGUUUUCUUUUAGGGAUUGAUCGUGGUGUUUCUUACCACUACUCUGUUGGAUGCUACGACGACUGUAUUGGACGCGGCUACAUCUCGGACUGAUUCAAGCAUAUUUGCUUACAUCAGAAGGAUCUGUGACUUCGUUUUGUUUUGUUUUUCAGGAAAGAAUUUUUACCUAGAAAUCUUGUUUUGUAAUUUAUGUGAAUAUAAAUGGUUUAAAUGAAACUUACUAAUA